GUGAGAGCAUGACCCCCACCACUGGGACUGAGAUACUGCCCAGACACCUACGGGUGGCUGCAGUCGAGAAUCUUCGGCAAUGGGCGCAAGCCUGACCGAGCGACGCCGCGUGUGGGAUGAAGGCCCUUGGGUUGUAAACCACUGUCAGAGGGGAUGAAGUGCAUGGGAGCCAUCUCCUGUGUUUGACAUAGCCUCAGAGGAAGCACGGGCUAAGUUCGUGCCAGCAGCCGCGGUAAUACGAACUGUGCGAACGUUAUUCGGAAUCACUGGGCUUACAGGGUGCGUAGGCGGCUUGUUAAGUAGGGUGUGAAAGCCCCCGGCUCAACCGGGGAAUUGCGCCCUAAACUGGCGAGCUAGAGUGAGAUAGGGGUAUGUGGAACUUCCGGUGGAGCGGUGAAAUGUGUUGAUAUCGGAAGGAACGCCGGUGGCGAAAGCGACAUACUGGAUCUUGUCUGACGCUGAGGCACGAAAGCCAGGGGAGCGAACGGGGUUAGAUACCCCGGUAGUCCUGGCUGUAAACGAUGAGCACUAGCUAGGAGGGGCGUAGGCCCUUCCUAACGGAGCGAAAGUGUUAAGUGCUCCGCCUGGGGGAGUAUGGUCGCAAGGCUG
rnacentral:rRNA from 1 species